UGGGGAAUUUUGGACAAUGGGCGAAAGCCUGAUCCAGCAAUGCCGCGUGUGUGAAGAAGGCCUUCGGGUUGUAAAGCACCUUUGUCCGGAAAGAAAUCCUUGGCUCUAAUACAGUCGGGGGAUGACGGUACCGGAAGAAUAAGCACCGGCUAACUACGUGCCAGCAGCCGCGGUAAUACGUAGGGUGCAAGCGUUAAUCGGAAUUACUGGGCGUAAAGCGUGCGCAGGCGGUUUGCUAAGACCGAUGUGAAAUCCCCGGGCUCAACCUGGGAACUGCAUUGGUGACUGGCAGGCUAGAGUAUGGCAGAGGGGGGUAGAAUUCCACGUGUAGCAGUGAAAUGCGUAGAGAUGUGGAGGAAUACCGAUGGCGAAGGCAGCCCCCUGGGCCAAUACUGACGCUCAUGCACGAAAGCGUGGGGAGCAAACAGGAUUAGAUACCCUGGUAGUCCACGCCCUAAACGAUGUCAGCUAGUUGUUGGGGACUUCAUUUCCUUAGUAACGUAGCUAACGCGUGAAGUUGACCGCCUGGGGAGUACGGUCGCAAGAUUAAAACUCAAAUGAAUUGACGGGGUCAUAGCUG
rnacentral:rRNA from 1 species